rnacentral:rRNA from 1 species
AUUGAACGCUGGCGGCAUGCCUUACACAUGCAAGUCGAACGGUAACAGGUCUUCGGAUGCUGACGAGUGGCGAACGGGUGAGUAAUACAUCGGAACGUGCCCGAUCGUGGGGGAUAACGGAGCGAAAGCUUUGCUAAUACCGCAUACGAUCUACGGAUGAAAGCAGGGGACCGCAAGGCCUUGCGCGGACGGAGCGGCCGAUGGCAGAUUAGGUAGUUGGUGGGAUAAAAGCUUACCAAGCCGACGAUCUGUAGCUGGCCUGAGAGGACGACCAGCCACACUGGGACUGAGACACGGCCCAGACUCCUACGGGAGGCAGCAGUGGGGAAUUUUGGACAAUGGGCGAAAGCCUGAUCCAGCCAUGCCGCGUGCAGGAUGAAGGCCUUCGGGUUGUAAACUGCUUUUGUACGGAACGAAAAGCCUCUUUCUAAUAAAGGGAGGUCAUGGCGGUACCGUAAGAAUAAGCACCGGCUAACUACGUGCCAGCCGCCGCCGUAACAC